GAUGCUCAGUUUGUGUAGUGGUCCUGGUUCUUGAGAAUUGUGAGGUCACAGACUUUCCACACCAUAGCCCCUAUUUGUUUUAUUAUGCAGUGAGUCUGAAUAGGGGAAAAUAGGAGAUAAGAUAUAAGUAGUGGAGAAAAAAACACAUUCAUGUAUUUAUUUAAAUGCAGCAAGAGCAGGGGACAGACAUGGAGGAGGUUACAGAAAGAACAGCUAUAAAGAUAUAGUACAGUAUACUGACAUCUGUGUGACCAUCAGAUAAAAAAUAAAUAGCAGAGAAAAGAGCUGUCUAAAUUAAAUAACUCCCAUUGGCAGCUGUAUGCAUCAUUCACAUGAUAAAUACUGGAUAAGGAAAAUCACCAGAAGGAAAAUUAAGUUUGUUACAGCUCUCUUUAAUGCUUCCAGAGAUAUACUUUCUGAACACAUACUGUAAAAGGUAGGCAUUACUUUUUUUCCUGAUUCUUAUAUAUGAAUAUGCUGGUCUGGGCUUUCCGUAUUCUGUUACAGAUUACAUUUA